UCGCUAAAGCUCGUGUCUUUUGUAACUUUUAAAAAAUAACUUACUCGUGUGAAAUAAAUUCCAUAUCCAACAACCACUCGUUGUGUAACCUCUAUUUAUCAUUGCAGUAUAUGCUAUUUACCAUCGCUUCAUACGUAUAUUUGGUAUUAUAUGACGUACUUUGUUAUUGUGUGACGAAGUUUUGUCGUUUGGGGACAUGUAUUUGUCAUAUAGGAUGAUAAAAAUGUAUCAAAUAUAGAGACAUAAACAGGUUAAGGCCCCAGUGCCAUAUAAAACAGUACAGUAUCUAAUAUAGACACAUAAACAGGUUAAGGCCCCAGUGCCAUAUAAAACAGUACAGUAUCUGUGGCUUGCAAAAUGUUUUGUACCUAACGUCCAUUUGAAAUCCGAUAUUGUAAAUUAUGAAAAUUAUUUAAUUUUCUGGGUCGUUGGUAGUCUACCUUUUUUCGGCCUGUUCCGCGUUUUUGGUUGCCUCCAUUAGCGCCAAUGACGAAUCCUAGAAGGACGAAGCGGCUGUAUGAUGUCCCGAACAUCACUGGCGAGUCCUUAAAAGACGAAUUAGCAGUAUGAUGUCCCUAACAUCACUGACGAGUCCUUAAAAGACGGAUUAGCAGUAUGAUGUCCCUAACAUAGCAGUAUGAUUCAGUUUAAUUCAUUUUGGCUCCACGGUAUCUACCUCUCAAUUAGUUUUGGAAUAUGCUCAUACCGUGUAUGGCUCAUACCGUGUAUGGCUUUUGUACAGUUAUUCAGUGUGUUUGAUUGGGCUUAUGCAUAUGAAGACGGAAUUUUAUUAAAAACCGGUAUUUUAUAUCAACUUUUGUCUUGAAAGUAUGUAUAUUUGGGUAUCGAAUCACUGAAUUAUUUACUUUGCCAAUUAAGAAAGUAAAUGUAGUUGAUUAUUUUAUGAACAACGCGAGACCUGUAUACAUUUUGAAUCUUUAGACCAAACCCCGUGCAGUUAAUUCCUCCGGAAACAACUAUCCGUUUUAAAGUAAAUUCAUAGUGGGUGACAUUUUCCUUACAUUAAAGCAUGCACACGUGGACAAUUUUAUGUUAGGGAAUUUCCUGUAGUGAAGGAAACCGGUGCAAGGUACAGAGUUAGCUAUCUAGAUAAAUGGCUAUCUUCUCAGCAAAAAGGGAUCAAUUUAUUGGUUAUCCAAACAAAAUAAAAUCCAAGAAACCGUGAUCGGUUUUACUUUCAGUUACGAUUUAGUCACCGGGUUUAGUUUCGUACGCAGACGUAUAUCAGUGUUAUGUACAGACUUUCGUGUUUUAUUUCAACAAAUAAACUUGGUGGAUUAUUCUAA